GCUGUCUAGGCUAGGACGAUUUCUUUUGCGGACGGACACCCGCCUGCGGAUGCGGGAACCACCUUCGUCCAUGGCAGGGCCUAAGGGCCCAGCCCCAACUCGUUUCCUGAGACCCAGCCGCCAACCCCCUAGUGGAGGGUGCUGUGGAGAAGUUGUUCACAAUAUGAACAGGUAACCAGCAAUGAGGACCUGCCUAUUCCAAUGGAAAAUCCUUAUAAGGAGCCUCUGAAAAAAUGUAUCUUGUGUGAAAAACGUGUAGAUUAUAAGAAUGUACAGGUGAGAUCUGGUUUUACUUCACUGUGAUACUUGAUUUGGGACUUUUGCUCUUUUACUAAUACAGUAGAGAAGCAAGUUGGCUUUUAUAAUAGGCUUUGUGUAGGGGUGACUGUUUCAGCUUCGUAAUUUCAAAUCUGGUUAUACUUUUAUGUAUAAGGCAGCUAUUUUAUUAAAAUAGGAACCUCUUGGCUGUCCUUCAUUUACUCUUAAUCAUCUCAGUGUUUCUUGUUUUUUGCUUCGCCCCAAACCUCUUAACAGCUCCCUGUGGCAGUGAUUCUCAGUCGCUGGAGUUGAGUAGUUAGGGAAAAGCUCCUGUGUUGAAGUUGCUAUCCGUACCUCACCACCAGUAUCACUAUUUUGAAUUCAUUUUAUCUGUUGUCGCGCGCUCAGCAGAUUAAAAGUGGCAAAUUUGGGGAAGAAGAUGGUGUCGGAGUUAAGUAUAUUGAUAGUAGCAUAAAGUGAUAGCUUCUUUGGUGGGAGAAAAUCCAAGAAACUGUAAAAUGCAAGUAUUAGGAUUAAUAAAACAUAAGUAACAGCAAAUGGCCUGAUAUACCUGUACAUCUUGAAGACCUCACUAUAGUCUGAUAUUAUGGGACUAUCAUGACAGAUGGGAUAUUCUGUACCUUGUUAUAAGCAGCAGUGCUUUAGAAAAAUUAUCUAUGGAAAAGUAAAAAGAAAACAGCUUUAGCACUGAAAGAACAUGCUCAUUAAUCUGUUGUAUAGACAUUUUUUUGACACACUCGGGAAGAGACGUUAACUUUCGCAAUUGCUUUAAGUUACUUAAAAAAGAUGACCUGUUAAUAGAAUGAACAUAACUCAGUGUUUUUAUUUGUAUUUUUGAAGUUUGUCUAAAAUUUAUUAAUAAGCCUUUUAUAGCUUGAAGGUGACAUAAGGUUUGUGUUUUGAAAUGUACACAAGGUUGAAUACAAGUGUAUUAACGUAAAAUUUUUUUCCUUUCCAAAUAUAACUCAAACCAGCUUUUAUCCCAGUUUAUUUCUCCAUUUACUGGAUGCAUUUAUGGAAGGCACAUAACAGGUAUUUUGUUUUCUAUUACAGCAAUUUAAACGUAGAUAAGCCUACUUCUGUUAUUUUAAAAAAUGGGCAGAUUUUCAAAUAUUGCCACAAAUUACUAUUAGACCAAAAACUAUGGAUACUUUGAGAAAGUCUCUUCUGAGGCUGAAAGGGUAAUUAUUUUGCGUAUCUUCUUAUACUCAGCUAACUAUAUAGGGUGACAACAGAGAGAACUCGGGCUUUGCUGUUCUGGAAUACACUGUAUAGUCAUCCUCAGGCUCUCAUUUAAACCAGGGGCCUAUUGCCUACAGGCCAGAUUGGAUCUGCCACUUGCUAAAUAGCUUAGUUUCCACAAUGUCUGAGCUACAAGAGCAGAAUUAAUGAUGACAGAGACCUUGUGGCCCACAAAGCCCAAGAUACUUAUUCUAAGGCUCUUAUACAGUUUUUCCAGCCAUUCUGUGACAUAACUGUCAUGUGUUUUGAAUGUUGGCAUUUUUUUAUGAAUAAGAAAGUAUUUUCUUUUAUAGGUCUUUGUGGGAAGAAACAAAAAGAAAUCACAAAAGCAAUUAAGAGAGCUCAAAUAUUGGGUAAGAACAUCUGAAAAACUGAAUUAUGCUAAACAAAAUUUUGCUCAUUGUCUUUUGUGAAGAACUUUCAUUCUUUCUUCACAGGGUUUAUGCCAGUUACAUACAAGGAUCCUGCCUAUCUCAAAGACCCUAAAGUUUGUAACAUCAAAUAUAGGGAGUAAAUUACAUAAAGUUAUUACAAUAAACGUAUUUUGCAAUAA